AAUUCCUUAUUACAAAGAAUCUCCAUUAAGAAUAUUUGAAACAAUCAGCUAUAAGAUAAUUUUGAAGUUACAUCUUAUUUCUGGAAGAAGAUUCCAAAUGAGAGUUGUUGAGGCCCAAGCGACAAGGCUGCUUCCAGACUACGUUUGGAAUCACCAUACCUCAGUCACCUACAUUGUCUCGGGCUGGGCUGGGGAACCUUUUUCAGCCCAAGGGCCACACUCCCUUCUGGGCAACAUGUCAGUGUUAGAUUGACUCUGCAGCCAUGUCUGCACCACACCUCGCUCCCGCACCUCGCUCCCGCACCUCAUCCCUCCCCUCCUGGCAAACUGAAAAUGGAUCACUGUCCAAGCUGAAUCAACUGCUAUAUUGGAGAAGAUUUUCGUUGAAGCCUAUCUGUUCAAGUAUCCUAUUCUUCAGUGGCUUGCAGAAUAACAACUGCCCACCUACAUAGCAAAAGAACCUUUUUACAGUACCCACAAAUAUGCUCAAUGCAUCCAUUAGGAACCAACAGUACAAACAAACUAUAAAAAUAACUGUAAAAAUAUUCUGGAGAGUGCUUAAUGGGGUGACAUUCAUCCCAAAGAGAGUUGGAAGAAAAAAUGUCAGAGACACUUAAGCUCAGUAACUAGAACUAUAAAGUGAAUCCAGAGAGACACCUUUGCCUGUUCCUUACACUAACAAAUUGUCAGACUAAGAUGAAUAAAUACAGUGAGCAACGUAAUAACAAAAAUAAAUGUAAAAUAAAUGUGUACCUGAUAA